UCUUAUGGAUGAGUAAAGAAAGUGGUUUCUUGAGAUGGAAUCUACUCUUGGUGAACAUGCUGUGAA
rnacentral:pre_miRNA from 3 species